UACGGAGGGGGCUAGCGUUGUUCGGAAUUACUGGGCGUAAAGCGCACGUAGGCGGCUUUGUAAGUUAGAGGUGAAAGCCCAGGGCUCAACCCUGGAAUUGCCUUUAAGACUGCAUCGCUUGAACAUCGGAGAGGUAAGUGGAAUUCCGAGUGUAGAGGUGAAAUUCGUAGAUAUUCGGAAGAACACCAGUGGCGAAGGCGACUCGCUGGACUGAUACUGACGCUGAGGUGCGAAAGCGUGGGGAGCAAACAGG
rnacentral:rRNA from 1 species